UUGCAGUGAUGACUUUUCUUAGGAUACCUUUGGAAUUUCCAUGAAAAAGAUUAAGAAUUCUGAGCAGC